GCCGGUUUAGCUCAGGGGUAGAGCAACCGCCUUGUAAGCGGUAGGUCGUGUGUUCAAUUCACACAACCGGCACCA
rnacentral:tRNA from 1 species